UACGUAGGGGGCUAGCGUUGUCCGGAUUUAUUGGGCGUAAAGAGCGUGUAGGCGGCCAGGUAGGUCUGCUGUGAAAACUCGAGGCUCAACCUCGAGAUGUCGGCGGAAACCAUCUGGCUAGAGUCCGGAAGAGGAAGGUGGAAUUCCUGGUGUAGCGGUGAAAUGCGCAGAUAUCAGGAAGAACACGCGUGGCGAAGGCGGUUCUCUGGGACGGUACCGACGCUGAGACGCGAAAGCGUGGGGAGCGAACAGG
rnacentral:rRNA from 1 species